rnacentral:misc_RNA from 1 species
UAAAUUUAGUUGAAUAACGUUUGUCGGCUAGGACUAUGACAGUCAAUUAAUUUACGUUUUUUAACUAAAUAUUAUCUAAUCCUGUCGAAAUAAACAAAAAACUAUUAAUGAAUGUGAUUUAUAAAUAUAAAGUGCGAGUGUUUUUACCAAAACUUUUAAAAUAAAUGCCUUGUAAAUAGUGAAAAAUAUGUCGUUGCUAAACGCCUUGCGUUGUUACUUCGAUCGCAUAUUAAUGGUGUAUAUUGUGAUAAAUCUGUAGUAAAAAUGAGAUGCUGUGUGCCGAAUUGCAAGAAUGAUUCGAGGCACAUAUCUAAAUCGCAAGGAAUCACUUUUCAUGUCUUUCCUAAUGAGGCUUCACUGCGGUCUGCAUGGCUCAAAGCCCUAGGUAAAGAGACUUGGGAGCCAAAAGAGAGGAGUGCAGUAUGCUCGGAGCAUUUUCUAUGUGACGAUCUGUACGAGACUAAGAGUGGUCUCAGAAAAGUACGAGCAGGAGCUGUACCUUUGAUUUUACAGGACACAAUGAGCUGUGACUAUGGAGAACCAGCCACCUUGAAGGCUUGCAGAAUAUGCCUGGUAAUGGAUGUGAAGUUAAUACCAAUAAGAGUAUGCAAUUUGGAACAAGCUUAUGAAAAUCUCACCGGAAUUUCGUUAAAUGAAGAUAAACUACCGCAGAAGCUGUGCGUGGAAUGUGUACAGAGGUUAACUAAUUGUAGUCAAUUCAGACUGAAGAGUUUGCGAGCUAACUCCUUGAUGCUAGAAGUUAUUAAGAAGCAUGAUAUCUUAACAGUACAAAAUAUAAAAACUAUCAGCCGAGAAAACAACCUUCUCACCUCUACAUUAUCAUAUAAAAAAUUCGAAGUCAACCAUUAUGAUUCUUACUACGAAUACACAGACCCAAUAUGGAUAGACGAAAAACCUUCAACAUGCAACAUCGAAGUCAAAGUCGAGAACGAAAUAUUUCUCCCAGAAGAAAUAGCAGUCAAAAUUAACGACGACGGAUUUAACGAGGUCGGAAUUAACGAAGCCGGAAUUAACGAUAACGGGAUUAACGAAGGAUUCAGCGAUAAUGAUGACGCUUCUGACAAGGAAUUUGUCAUAGUGUCUGAUAAAGAUUAUUCUUCAGACGACAGUUUGCCUCUGGAGAAAUGUAAAACAAAGAAGACUAGAAAACGCAAAAUUAAAGAUGAGAAACCGGUUAAAACGGUAAAAAAAGUUAAAAAGGUUAAAGAAGGUAAUGAUAGCAAUGAACCUAAAGUUGAUAGGCGUCGAAAACCUUUCUUAAACGAUGAUUUGAAUGAAACGUUAUUCACAAUACGAGAUUUGACCAUUGAAGAGCAAAUAGCUGAGAUAUUAAAAAGACGGGACUCGGCGAAUUACAAGAACGCGAUUUAUAAGUGUACCGCGUGUUUUAAAGGGUUUUUGGAUGAAGAUGCUUAUAAUAGUCAUAUGACGAGACAUACAGAUCAAUGUGGCGAACACGAAUGCGGUGUAUGCAAAACACAUUUUAAGCAUCCGCACGCCUUACGGAAACAUAUAACAGCUCACCACACUCAGAGGUUCAGUUGCAAGCAAUGUCCAUAUAUCACUACACACAGACAGACUGCCAGAUUGCACGAGAGAUGGCAUAAGGGGACUAAGUACAAGUGCCCUCAUUGUCAAGAUGAGUUUGUUAAAUUCACAACAUACAUGGGACAUAUACGCAUAAAGCACCCUUCAGACUUCGUAUGCGGUCUCUGCGGGUUCUCCUUUGUGAGCGCUAAAGGCAUAGAGCUGCAUAAGAAACUCAAGCAUAGGCUGGAUAAUGUACAGAUACCAGACGAUGGUCCUCAAUGUGAACCUUGCAACGUGCGUUUCGUUAAUACAGACGCAUACAAGAGACAUUUAACCGUAUCCGCGAGACACAAUGCAGAUGCAGGCGUAGAAAAAAGAGUAAGAAAUAAACCUCGUAAAGGCCGAAAAACUAAAGAAAUGAAAGAGAUGGAGCGUCGUGCGAGAGAGAACAGUGACUCGGAAGAUAAGAGACGAUACCCGAGCCAGAUGAGAAGAGCCGAGGGACCUAUACCCUGUGAACAGUGUGGUCUUCAACUAGAAGAUUCGCGUGCCUACCACGGUCAUUUCCGACGCAUGCAUCCCGACAAGAAUCGUACCAACUACCCCUCUAUGAAGUCGCCUUGUAUGUGUGAAGUUUGUGGCAGAAUGUUCCAAAGCUUCGCCCUCCUAAAAGACCAUACCUACAUACACACAGAUGAACGCCCCUUCAAAUGCGAGAUCUGCUCAAAGAGUUUCCGCAUGAAGCAACGCCUGGUCGCCCACAGGCGCGUCCACAGCGAGGUUCGCGCGAGCUACGUAUGCAAGCUCUGCGGGAAACAGUUCUCAACGCAUAGCAACCGACAGAGACACAUGUUUGUGAGUAUAUUCAGGGUCUUACAGGGACUCCGGCAGGUGUUACAGGCGAGUGCUCACUAGGUGGGGCGAGUGGUCACUAGGUGGGGCGAGUGGUCACAGGCGCGUCCACAGUGAAGUUCGCGCGAGCUUCGUCUGCAAGCUCUGCGGGAAACAGUUCUCAACGCAUAGCAACCGACAGAGACACAUGUUUAUCCACACCGGAUUGAAACCGUUUAAGUGUGAGAUGUGUGGGAAAGGAUUCAAGCAUGCGAGCGAGAAGAGAGCGCAUAUCACCUAUGUGCAUUUGAAGAAGCCGUGGCCUAAACGCGCUAGGGGGAAGCGGAGACCUGAGA